rnacentral:miRNA from 1 species
GUGUGUGUGUGUGUGUGUAGAUAAUGCAGUGUGUUUGUGUAGUGUGCAUUAUAGAAACACACUACACAAACAUACUGCAUUAUAUACACAAACUG